GACGAACGCUGGCGGCGUGCUUAACACAUGCAAGUCGAGCGGAAAGGCCACUUCGGUGGUACUCGAGCGGCGAACGGGUGAGUAACACGUGAGUAAUCUGCCCCUGGCUUUGGGAUAGCCACCGGAAACGGUGAUUAAUACCGGAUACGACCACUUCUCGCAUGGGAUGGUGGUGGAAAGUUUUUUCGGCCAGGGAUGUGCUCGCGGCCUAUCAGCUUGAUGGUGAGGUAAUGGCUCACCAUGGCUUCGACGGGUAGCCGGCCUGAGAGGGUGACCGGUCACACUGGGACUGAGACACGGCCCAGACUCCUACGGGAGGCAGCAGUGGGGAAUAUUGGACAAUGGGCGGAAGCCUGAUCCAGCAACGCCGCGUGAGGGAUGACGGCCUGCGGGUUGUAAACCUCUUUCAGCAGGGACGAAGCGUAAGUGACGGUACCUGCAGAAGAAGCACCGGCCAACUACGUGCCAGCCGCCGCAGUAA
rnacentral:rRNA from 1 species